rnacentral:lncRNA from 1 species
GCGAGACUCCGUGGGCGUAGGACCCUCCGAGCCACAUGCAGGAUAUAAUCUCCCGGUGUGCCGUUUUUUAAGCCCGUUGGAAAAGCGCAGUAUUAGGGUGGGAGUGACCCGAUUUUCCAGGUGCCGUCUGUCGCCCCUUUCUUUGACUCGGAAAGGGAACUCCCUGACCCCUUGCGCUUCCCGAGUGAGGCAAUGCCUCGCCCUGCUUCAGCUCGUGCACGGUGCGCUGCACCCACUGUCCUGCGCCCCCUGUCUGGCACUCCCUAGUGAGAUGAACCCUCAGAUGGAAAUGCAGAAAUCACCCGUCUUCUGCGUCGCUCACGCUGGGAGCUGUAGACCGGAGCUGUUCCUAUUGGGCCAUCUUGGCUCCACCACCCUGAGAUAGGGUCUCACUCUGUCGCCCAGGCUGGAGUGCGGUGGCGCGAUCACGGCUCACUGCAGCCUCCAACUCCUGGACUCAAGCGAUCCUCCCUCCUCGGCAUCCCUGGACUAUAGGCGUGAGCCACCGCUUACGGGCGAAGACUUGCUUGUCCGUGUCCUUGCCAUCUAAGUGGAGAGCCUACGACUAGAUUUGCAUCUUUACGUCCUGCGCGGAGGCUGCUACACACAUGCAGAAGUCAUGCUGGUGGCCUGGACAGUGAAGGGAGAGAAGUGGAUUUGGGAGACAUUUAGGAGGAACAGUAAGAGGACCUUGUGCAUGAAUAAUUUGUUUCCACACUACAGAGUGGGUAAUAAGCAGAUUAGUAAAAACAAUUCUGCUUCACUUCAAUAACAGCCUCCUCCAACUCAUUUUUUCUCAACAAACUUAUUUUUCCAGCAGAAGAAUCCCAGACUUCUUAGAGAACCCAGUGACUUUUUGCACCUUAAAUCUGUGAAAUCCUCAUGUUUUCUUCUGCCGUAUCCAUAGUUCAAACAAAGAUGAGGCAAAGCUAGAUGCAUUCCUGAAGGAACCCAAGAAAUUCCUCUCUUUAUUUCUCUGGAAUGAAAUGAAUUCUCUAGACCACCAGUUCUAACCUUCAAAAACCAAACCUGUUUGUGAGAUCUCCUUCAAAUACUACUGUAGACCCCAGUGUUUAUUCAUUAAAUUUUUAAAAUAUUUGUUUUAUUUGGAA